GACGAACGCUGGCGGCGUGCCUAACACAUGCAAGUCGAACGAAGUGGCGAACGGGUGAGUAACGCGUAAUCAUCCUGCCCUUCAGAGGGGGACAACAGUUGGAAACGACGCCUAAUACCGCACAGUGAAGGCGGGGAUUGUGUCUGAUUAGCUAGUCGGAGGGGUAACGGCCCACCAAGGCGAUGAGCAGUAGCCGGUCUGGGAGGAUGAACGGCCAAAUUGGGACUGAGACACGGCCCAGAAUCCUAAGGGAGGCAGCAGUGGGGAAUCUUCCGAAAUGGACGAAAGUCUGACGGAGCAACGCCGCGUGAGUGAUGACGGCCUUCGGGUUGUAAAGCUCUGUUAAUCGGGACGCGGUACCGGAAUAGAAAGCCACGGCUAACUACGUGCCAGCAGCCGCGGUAAUUC
rnacentral:rRNA from 1 species